rnacentral:lncRNA from 1 species
AUUUUUGCAGAGAUUUUCCCUGGUCAAGAGUGCAACAUGAGUCGUGGAUAUGAACUUUACUGUCAGAUGUACAUUGAUUGAAAAGUGAACAAGAUAUCUGCACUGAGAAUGAAUGAAGUUGAAGAAAGUUAAAAGGCACCCAGAAGAACCUGAAUUAUUUUAGCCCUAUCCUAGAUUCAUUGAAUAUUUUAGUGUGUGAUAACAUGUGUGAAAUGUGAUCAAUUAUGUGACAAUUUUCAAAACUUGGAUUUA